GACGGAGGGUGCAAGCGUUGCUCGGAAUUACUGGGCGUAAAGGGUGCGUAGGCGGCCGUGCAAGUCUGGCGUGAAAGCCUCGGGCUCAACCCGGGAAGUGCGCUCGAAACUGCGCGGCUCGAGUGCCGGAGGGGAGAGUGGAAUUCCUGGUGUAGCGGUGAAAUGCGUAGAUAUCAGGAGGAAUACCGAUGGCGAAGGCGACUCGCUGGACGGCAACUGACGCUGAGGCACGAAAGCGUGGGGAGCAAACGGG
rnacentral:rRNA from 1 species